rnacentral:rRNA from 1 species
CCCGCACAAGCGGAGGAACAUGUGGUUAAUUCGAUGAUACGCGAGGAACCUUACCUGGGCUUAAAUGUAGAGUGCAUUUUUAGAGAUAGAAAUUCCCUUCGGGGCUUUCUGCAAGGUGCUGCAUGGUUGUCGUCAGCUCGUGCCGUGAGGUGUCGGGUUAAGUCCCAUAACGAGCGCAACCCUUAUCGUUAGUUGCCAUCUGGUAAUGCAGGGGACUCUAGCGAAACUGCCACCGUAAGGUGAGAGGAAGGUGGGGAUGACGUCAAAUCAGCACGGCCCUUAUGUCCAGGGCUACACACGUGUUACAAUGGUCGGUACAGAGGGCAGCUACCUGGUGACAGGAUGCUAAUCUCGAAAACCGGUCUCAGUUCGGAUCGAAGUCUGCAACUCGACUUCGUGAAGCUGGAUUCGCUAGUAAUCGCGCAUCAGCUAUGGCGCGGUGAAUACGUUCCCGGGCCUU